rnacentral:rRNA from 1 species
GACGAACGCUGGCGGCGUGCUUAACACAUGCAAGUCGAACGGAAAGGCCCUGCUUUUGUGGGGUGCUCGAGUGGCGAACGGGUGAGUAACACGUGAGUAACCUGCCCUUGACUUUGGGAUAACUUCAGGAAACUGGGGCUAAUACCGGAUAGGAGCUCCUGCUGCAUGGUGGGGGUUGGAAAGUUUCGGCGGUUGUGGAUGGACUCGCGGCUUAUCAGCUUGUUGGUGGGGUAGUGGCUUACCAAGGCUUUGACGGGUAGCCGGCCUGAGAGGGUGACCGGCCACAUUGGGACUGCGAUACGGCCCAGACUCCUACGGGAGGCAGCAGUGGGGAAUAUUGCACAAUGGGCGGAAGCCUGAUGCAGCAACGCCGCGUGCGGGAUGACGGCCUUCGGGUUGUAAACCGCUUUCGCCUGUGACGAAGCGUGAGUGACGGUAAUGGGUAAAGAAGCACCGGCUAACUACGUG